AUCACCUUUGUCCAGCCACCUGGCAGAUUCCCUGCGGAGUAGUUGUGUGCUAACUUCUCGGGUUCCAUCACCAAUGAUGGCUUCCCCAAGGCUACAACUACAUACAGAAGAUGAUAGUCAACAUUCAGCUUGUGAUGUAAGAAACGGGCAUUCAGCCGGCGAAUAUAAACCAGCACACCUUAACUGCUUGGUAGUUUUCAUGUGCAGUGCUCAUGGAAAGUGCAGGGAGAGGAUCUUGCUGGAACAGGUGCUCACCCUUCAGUUGGCUCGAUUGGUAGCGCCCAAGUCACUGCCAGCGCCCAUGAAAAGGCCAGAUGCCCUGGAGAUGGGAACCACUGACACAUGAUCAGUUCCCCAUCUAGAGCAGCACUAAAGGCGACCUCCUUAAAGCCUACUUUCUGGAAUACAUCUGUGUGCAGAGCUUGUACAUCAAGUUGAAGACUUACAAUUCAUCUCAUUGACAGUGAUACAACAUUUAAACAAAACCGUUUUAUGACUGAAAAAUCUAAAUAAAAACAAAAUAUGUUGUUGCCUUAUACCAGUGUCAUGGCACACUGGUCGCUUUACUAUAUGCUGCAAUAAAUUGCUUCUUUUCAAG